AUUGAACGCUGGCGGAAUGCUUUAUACAUGCAAGUCGAACGGCAGCACGGGGGCAGCCCUGGUGGCGAGUGGCGAACGGGCGAGUAAUACAUCGGAACGUGCCCGGUCGUGGGGGAUAACGUAGCGAAAGUUAAGCUAAUACCGCAUACGAUCUGAGGAGGAAAGCGGGGGACCUUGGUUCCUCGCGCGAUCGGAGUGGCCCAUGUCAGAGUAGAUACGGGGCGGGGUAAAGGCAGACCAAGCCUACGAUCUGUAGCUGGUGUGAGAGGACGACCAGCCACACUGGGACUGAGACACGGCCCAGACUCCUACGGGAGGCAGCAGUGGGGAAUUUUGGACAAUGCGCGCAAGCCUGAUCCAGCCAUUCCGCGUGCAGGACGAAGGCCUUCGGGUUGUAAACUGCUUUUGUGCGGAAAGAAAAGGCUCUGGCUAAUACCUGGGGCUCAUGACGGUACCGUAAGAGUAAGCACCGGCUAACUACGUG
rnacentral:rRNA from 1 species